CCAAGAAAAAACAUGUUUAAAACAUGCAGAGAAGAUUUCGAAACAACGUUUUCAACUAUUAAUGGGAACAUUACCAAAACAUUCUGCAAUCAAAUUUUUGUUAACUGGAAUGUAAGCAUGAUACUGUGAACAUAUCUAAUGAGAUAUGGUUACAUGUGGGAAAGUGCUAUACUAACAUUUAAAGGUCAGUAAUAUUGCUAAUAACAAUACUAAGUGAGAAUUUUAAAGGUCUUUGCUAAAGCCUGCUUUUAUGACUCUUUGGAUGUGCAUCUAAGAAAAGAUGAUCUAGUUUCUAAAUCUUCAAACAGCAGGAGCAGAUACCAGAUUUGUAAGCUGUUCUGUAAAGUCCCCUUCCAGUUGAAAAUCCUUGUUCCAGCACAUAAAAUGUAUUUGAUCAAAAAUAACGUAAAACAGUCAAUUUACUCCAGCCUUGAGUGUCACAUGAUCCAUCAAAAAUCAUUCUAAUAUGUUGAUUUGGUGCGCAACAACCAUGUCUUGCUUUUAACAAUGUUGAAAACAGUUGUGCUGAAUAUUUUUGUGCAAAAAAUAUUUAUGAAAUGGCAAUAUUUUGUAGCAUUUAAAUGUCUUUAAUGUCAUUUUUGAUCAAUAAAGGUUAGAUAAAUACUGAUAGUUGAAUAUGGAAUUAAUAAUCGAGGGUCCAAGUCUUACUUUCAGGCUGUGAGUUGUUCGGUUCACGCUGACAUGUUGAUUAUUAUGCGUAUCUAUGUUGAUUAUAGGUGUAGAUACAAAAAAUGUACAUUGAUUAAUGAUCAUUAAAAUUCAAUAUUGCUUGGCUCCAAAACAAGCUUUAUAAAUCAAGUGGUAUAAAUAAAUCCUGGCUGUAAGCCUAUCAUUUUUGUUUCUGCAUAAUCACCACUCCGACACGCUCCCCUGAGGGCAUAAGAUGAUUAAGGCUUUGCAUGGAAUUAUAAAUGAGAUAGGUGGAUAUGUGCUUUUUUUUUACUUCUGGUCCUCUAGGUCUGAAGAUUGAGAUUGGUAUGAUUUAUGUAUCUUAAAAGACAGCCACUAAUGUGAGUAUCAAAGGUCACAAUUGGCCCACUGGUUUUUAGCAAAUUUGAUUAGAUUUGCUGUGAGUGUCCUUUCAUCUUCUUAUCACUGCUUCUGGUUUUCUUGGCUUUCAGCCGUAUAAAUGGCUUUUCUGUGCUGAAUAGGAAACUGGCUACCUGUCUGAAAAGACAACCAACAUCAUGACGAAUCCUGCAAAAUCAAGAAAAAUAGGAGAGUUCAUUUCUCAAAAAAUUUAUUGGGACCCCCAAUGAGUCCUCAAUUCAGCUAUUUAUAUAUUUCAGAGGUGGUGACCUGUCCCAAUGCUUCCUUCAAUGACCUGACUAGUGUCCAGAAUUAGAGCCAGUGAAGCAAGCCGUCAUGGAAGACAGGGCAGCAGCUGGAGAAUUAUGUGGAGAAAAUGGAUAUCAAGAUCACAAAGACUUGUGCUUACAUCAGAAUGUGAGACCAUCUGCACUUCAAUAAAACAAACACCUUUGCGACUCCCUUAGGGUCCACUUUCCUAACAUCUUCAUUACAGCACUGAGGAAUGUUUUGAUCACAUUUAGAGCUGCAGGACAUUGAUGAACAUCACCAAGGAUUCUGGAUGAGUAAUUACCAGCACCUGCUGUGUGACCCAUCUCACCAGACUGGUUGGAGGAAAAGGCAGCACAGGGACAGAGGAGGAGGUGACGAGUAAUUAAAGUGGCCCAUGGAGGGAUCACAGCAGACAGGCUUGGGUAAAUGACAGCUGGGUCUGACGCGUUUACCCACCACUGGGCCCCCUUCUGACGUACAGGUGGCACAGAGGGCGGAUAAAAGUGAAAAUGAGCAGCUAAAUUGAGUUUUCCUUAUAUGGACCUUUCCCUAUCCCCUCCCCCUUUUCCUCCAAGGAACUGGAGCUAGUCCUCCAACUGAGCUGUGAAACCAAGCCAAACAGUCCUGGCCUGAACUGGUUUUGUAUGAGUUACAUAAAUAAUCAUAUCAGAGUGUAGCUAGAGCAAUGAUAUGUUGCUACAUUACAUUUACAGGAAGUAAUUAAAGGCAGGAUUAUAUAGUUCCUUUUACAAAGAAGCUUUGAUUAAUUCUUAUAGGACAUCAUAAAACAGAUCAAAUAUA